UAACCUUGGUAGAAGCCGUUGCUUUAUUUUUUUUCCCUGCCUUGCUUCUGAGUAUUAUUUUUCUUCCUGUGUGUCCGGUUACCUCUGCUUCCCGCGUCGGUGACGUAAUUAGAUCAUGUGGCGCAAUCAGCCACUCACGGGCCUCCAUUCACGUGACAUCGCAUCACCACGUGAUUUGGAGCAGCGAAUCACGUACGCUUAUAAAGGGCCGGGGAAACGGUAUUGCAGGAAGCGGUGGAGAAGCUGAUAGCGAAAUACAGGAACCUUCUAUGCGGCCAAGCAACAGAACGCGGUUGUUAAGCGUGUGAUUGUGGUGGAACUAGGCCAGACCCUGAUGGCGAGCUAGACCCCAGGAAACUGGACCAGCAGAUGCAGAAACCUCUGAGAACCACAGCCUUCCACCGGGCCGGUAGGGGGUUCCUUGUAGCCCAUUAAAAACCACCUCAGUUGCGCCCACUGAGGUGGUAACACACACCAUCUUCAACGGACUCUGUGCUCCAUUGAACUCUGGGCUGAAGAACUUUGAUUCUGAGGCUGCUGAAGUCCCCAUAAAACGAACUUUUCUGGACUCGAACAAUUCUGCAUGAAAUGUUUUGUUGUUUUCCUUUUUGUAUAUAUGUAUAUUUAAAUGGCCAUUCACUUUAUUAUUGUCACUCACUGUAUAUAUUUAUAGAUAAAAUACGCUUCAAACAA